rnacentral:tRNA from 1 species
GGAUUGUGGCUCAGUGGCAAAGCACUGGCCUGGCACGUACGAGGUACUGGGUUCAAUCCUCAGCACCA